rnacentral:rRNA from 1 species
ACAAGCGGUGGAGCAUGUGGUUUAAUUCGAUGCAACGCGAAGAACCUUACCUGGGCUUGACAUCCCGGGAAUCCCUUGGAAACAAGGGAGUGCCCUUCGGGGAACCUGGAGACAGGUGCUGCAUGGCUGUCGUCAGCUCGUGUCGUGAGGUGUAGGGUUAAGUCCCGCAACGAGCGCAACCCUUGUCUUUAAUUGCCAUCAUUGAGUUGGGCACUUUAAAGAGACUGCCGGUGUUAAACCGGAGGAAGGUGGGGAUGACGUCAAGUCCUCAUGGCCUUUAUGCCCAGGGCUACACACGUGCUACAAUGGGUGGUACAAAGAGCAGCCAGCUCGCGAGAGUGAGCAAAUCUCAAAAAGCCAUCCUCAGUUCGGAUUGAAGUCUGCAACUCGACUUCAUGAAGUUGGAAUCGCUAGUAAUGGCAGAUCAGCAUGCUGCCGUGAAUACGUUCCCGGGUCUU